rnacentral:tRNA from 1 species
GCGGGUGUAGCUCAGGGGUAGAGCACGACCUUGCCAAGGUCGGGGUCGAGUGUUCGAAUCCCUUCGCCCGCUCCA